UGAAGCGAUGAGAAGCCGCUAGUGGAGCUGUGUGGUUACCUGCCUGUCUGCCUGCAGCCACCAAGACCUGUGGAAAUCAUUCAGAACAUCUGUGGAUUACUGCUGGAAGUUGGAUACUCUGCUCCAAGACACCUGUGUCGGGCACAGAGCAGGAUGAAGAAUGCUUGCUGCUGCUUUCCAAGCCCUGUGGAAGAUUGUGGGUAGGUCAACAGAUUUGUGUAAAUAAUGAAAUGUGAGCUGGUUGCUUCAGUGCUGAACAUCUAUAUUAUCUGAAGACAAGCUUGGAGUUCCAAGGGAAUGAAGCCCAUCCUGUGCCAAGA